UACGUAGGUGGCGAGCGUUGUCCGGAAUUACUGGGCGUAAAGGGUGUGCAGGCGGAUAUUUAAGUGAGAUGUGAAAGACCCGGGCUUAACCCGGGCAGUGCAUUUCAAACUGGAUAUCUAGAGUGCAGGAGAGGAGAACGGAAUUCCUAGUGUAGCGGUGAAAUGCGUAGAGAUUAGGAAGAACACCAGUGGCGAAGGCGAUUCUCUGGACCGUAACUGACGCUGAGGCACGAAAGCGUGGGUAGCAAACAGGAUUAGAUACCCUGGUAGUCCACGCCGUAAACGAUGAGUACUAGGUGUAGGAGGUAUCGACCCCUUCUGUGCCGCAGUAAACACAAUAAGUACUCCGCCUGGGAAGUACGAUCGCAAGAUUAAA
rnacentral:rRNA from 1 species